GUUUGGUUAAGUUAGAAAGGGCGCACGGUGGAUGCCUUGACACUAGGAGUCGAUGAAGGACGGGACUAACGCCGAUAUGCUUCGGGGAGCUGUAAGUAAGCUUUGAUCCGAAGAUUUCCGAAUGGGGAAACCCACCAUACGUAAUGGUAUGGUAUCCUUAUCUGAAUACAUAGGGUAAGGAAGACAGACCCAGGGAACUGAAACAUCUAAGUACCUGGAGGAAGAGAAAGCAAAUGCGAUUUCCUGAGUAGCGGCGAGCGAAACGGAACAUAGCCCAAACCAAGAGGCUUGCCUCUUGGGGUUGUAGGACAUUCUAUACGGAGUUACAAAGGAACGAGGUAGACG
rnacentral:rRNA from 1 species